rnacentral:snoRNA from 1 species
AUGCAGUGAUGAUCUCAUAAAUUGUGGUUUUGCCUUACUGAUUGCUGAGUGAAGACAUGAAUUUCCUUGGCUGUGUCUGAGCAU